CCAUCACUCACUCCUUCCCAGAGGUUGGCCUGGUGGCUGACAGAGAGAGGGAGCCUUUCACUGCCCGCUGAGGCCCUAGAUCCCCACACUGGCUUCAUCCAUCCCAGUCAAGCAGUGAUCCUGGGAAGAUCCUGGGUGGCCAAGGAACUGGAUCAUAGAUGGCAGCAGUGAGCGAAAGGUGACCGGGAGGGCAGGCAGAAUUCUCAGCUGGGUCUGCCCCUGCUCUUUCUAUCCCCACCAGGGGAACCUAAUUAGGUAUGGUGGGAUGUUCUCUCUCCUCUACCCGUGAAGUUCUCUGUGUCUGGCAAGAGGAGAUGAAUGCAGCAUUUAUCAAGCUUUUUUGCUCUCUAGGCUGGGAUAGCUCCAUACUCUGACUUAUUAUUUUCUGCCUAUAACUUCUGGAGGGCUCAUGGAUGCAGUCUGUCAUGAGAAGCCCACUCUCACUGCAACUAAAAUUAAUGGAUGAUUUUUCUAGAAGAUGAACCAGUCUGGGCCUAGAAGAACAUUCUGCAUCUGAAGGGCACAGUGAGGAGGUGGUUGUCUACGAGCCAGAAAGAGAGUCCUCGUGAGAAAUUGACCAUGCCAGCACUUUGAUCUCGGACUUUUCGCCUCCAGAACUGGGAGAGAAUAAAUUUCUGUUGUUAACCCAGUCUAUGGUAUUUUGUUAUGGCAGCUUGAACUGACUAAUACAAUACGCUUGUAAAUCCUGCCUGUCUCCAUGGGUGCUUCCUUCCCAUCCGCCCGAGGCAAAGUCUGUUUAUGGAGUUUUCUGUCUCCUACGUUGGAAAGGCAAGCAAACAUUUCUCAAUAUCUGUAAAUAUUUUCCUUCUGUCCACCAUGGAACUAAAAUCCUUCAAAUACUUACCAUACCUCUAUCCUCUUUUAAAUCCACCUUCUACCAAUACAGUUAUGUCUAGAAAGAAUGUCUGCAAGCUUGUGCCAGUUUUCAUAUAUACAUAUGGCAAAGAGGUAUUUUUCUUCCUUCUUUUUUUGAGAAACCCAACCAGUUCUUCUCUCAUACUCUCUAGUAAAUUAUAAAUUCUUUGAAAGCAG
rnacentral:lncRNA from 1 species